rnacentral:rRNA from 1 species
UCAGAUUGAACGCUGGCGGCAUGCCUUACACAUGCAAGUCGAACGGUAACAGGUCUUCGGACGCUGACGAGUGGCGAACGGGUGAGUAAUACAUCGGAACGUGCCCAGUCGUGGGGGAUAACUACUCGAAAGAGUAGCUAAUACCGCAUACGAUCUGAGGAUGAAAGCGGGGGACCUUCGGGCCUCGCGCGAUUGGAGCGGCCGAUGGCAGAUUAGGUAGUUGGUGGGAUAAAAGCUUACCAAGCCGACGAUCUGUAGCUGGUCUGAGAGGACGACCAGCCACACUGGGACUGAGACACGGCCCAGACUCCUACGGGAGGCAGCAGUGGGGAAUUUUGGACAAUGGGCGAAAGCCUGAUCCAGCAAUGCCGCGUGCAGGAUGAAGGCCUUCGGGUUGUAAACUGCUUUUGUACGGAACGAAAAAGCUUCUCCUAAUACGAGAGGCCCAUGACGGUACCGUAAGAAUAAGCACCGGCUAACUACGUGCCAGCAGCCGCGGUAAUACGUAGGGUGCGAGCGUUAAUCGGAAUUACUGGGCGUAAAGCGUGCGCAGGCGGUUAUGUAAGACAGAUGUGAAAUCCCCGGGCUCAACC